UACAUCACACAUCGUCGUGUUCAGCUUGAAGACCAAGCAAUCGUGGACAGUAGACACGCCUGGAAUUCGGAGCUUCUCGAUUGCCAUUUCCCCUGCUCGUCAGGAGGAACCGAGACAGCUCUAUUUAAGCGAAUUCUACCCUCCUAGGUUGUAUUCCAUAUCUGCAGCCGCGCUAGGAAACGGAUCUCGAACUGCCUAUCCUAAAAAUAUUGGAACUUGGUCUAAAAAACCAUAUAGAACGUUGGUCGACAGCAACGGGACCAUGUAUGCCGCCUUUUUGGACGUGGGCUUCAUGUCCACUUGGAAUACUUCCCAGCCAUUUCACGAGCAGCGUUUCUAUGAGAUUAAAAAUGUGCAAAGAUUGAGGCCGGUUACUUUCGCCGUGGACUCGUCCAAUAAUGCAUUCUGGAUGAUGGAAAUUUGGAAAGAAUCAUGGAGAACUUGGAGGCGCAGACUUCUCAAAGCUCCAGGUUCUAACUAAGAAAAGAAAACACAAAUAAAUUUAAUUUAAUUUUCAAACUGUAUAGAAAAUGGGUAGAAUAUCACUGUCUGUUUAAAAUUAUAAAUCAUUGAAAGAGGUUAUAAAUAAAAAUAUUAUGUAAUACAUAUAAUUUGAAGGAA